GUUGCUUUUCCACUUAUAACCAAGUGUUCUUCUUUUCCUUUCCUUUUUUCAGAAAGUUCUUGCACAUGCAUCUUACUUAACUGAAAUUUGUACUUCCGGAAACCAUAAAGAUAGAUAGUAUUUUGGCGCAGGACUAGAAAACUCUAUGCACCAAUCCAGAUAUGAAUAUCACCUUGCUAGUUGAUGUUGUAGAAACUCACUCUCAAGUACCUGACUUUAUGGCUCUGCGCCAAGUUUUUAAUUUUAGGCUUAUUCAUUUCUUCGCCCUGCAUCCUGAGGUAUGCCUACUCUUUCUCAGAAUAUUUUCCCCACUUUUCCUUCUUCAAUAUGAAAGACUGCUGCAAGCUCCUUGAUUGGUUCUAAUAAGUAUGUUUUAGCAAAUGAAACUUGACUAUAUAAAACAGAAGAUGUGGAUCUCAACCGUGUAGGACAUGAAUAAUGCCUAAAAAUGUUAAUUUAGCUUGAUUUGAGUGACAUAUGAUAGUCUUGUGGUAUAUGAAAUGUUAGUGAUCAGAUUGAGCUGGCUUCAACUUAGUGAUUCUGCUUUGUAGGAUCGGGAUUAGUUAUUUAGUGACACGUAGAAGAUGAAACAGUUGCAUGCCAGAAAGUUUGAUUGAGUAAUUUUCAGAUGACAGCCCAUUUUGUAUAAAUGUACAAAGAAAAGAUUAAGUUUAUUUCAACAAAUUGAUUAUGUUUCCUCCACUUGGGCAUACCUCUUUGCAUCCUGUAUUAGUGUAUUUGAUUAAUCGGAUAGGUAAUAUUCUAUGUAAUAUUUGGGUGUUAAAAGAUAAAAGAAAUGAACUCAUGCAUUUUUAUUUUUGAGAUAAAGGCUUGUGAUGUUCUAGAUGCCAUUUUGGUAGAGCCUUUUAGCCAAAGACAGCGUGUUAUUGUUGCUCAAACAGAAAAGGCCCAGCUCUUAGCAUCUCCAUCCCCCACGCCAUCUGAUGGUGUUAGGAACAACAAAAAUGGGCAGAAUAAAGUAUUUACUAUUCAAUCUUCCAAUUUUAAGAGUAAAUCGGAGCUAGAUAUCUAAAAAUGGGAAGUAGAAGGAAUCAUGUUUUGAAUUUCGUAUUAUCAACCACUCAGUACACCUGAACCACCCACAAUGCUCUAUUGCUUCAAGUGUAUCUGAAAGCCCUCAUGUAAAGCUCACCUCAUCUGCUGACAGUUUCAGGUACAAACACCUGCACUAUUGACACCAAGGAGAUCAAUGCCCAAUUGUGACGCCGAGCAUGAGACCAUAAACAGCCAAUCAACAUCAUGUUAUAAGCCUGCAAAAAGAAUUCUAGACUUCUCGCACUUGGAAGGUGAUAAGAUUGCAUUGGAUUGUAUAACAGAUUAGUCAGACUACUACAAAGUUGUAAACCAAAACAUCCCUAAGACUACAGAAACACCUUUUGAGGAUGAAAAUGUUACUUUUUCUCUGGAACCACAAAAGGAGAAGUCAAAGAACAUAUUGAUCUUCUUAAAAGGUAUGUUCCAAAUUUGUUCCAUAUGGAGUUGCUAGUGGAGAUACUGUGUACAAGUAAGCUUCAUUUUUAUUCCGUUAAUUUGUCAGUAACAUCCUUACACAUGAAGAGAUGUCUGGUAUGUGAUUAGAAGACUUGAUAAGAUCAAUGUUGUUAGGCCUUUUCCAGUGACAUCAGUUUCUCAUAAGAAUAUCAAAAUUUCUGUAAAAAAAUACCGUGAGAAAUAUCCUUGUGGUGUCCCCCAAAGGAAGGUUCUUACGUGUUGCCCACUAUUCCCUCUGCGGUGGGGAAUCAUCUUUCUGGCCCAUGGUGUGCACAAACCCUUUUAACACAAGGGAUGAGGACAUGAUAGGUUUUUCUUUUUAAUGUUAAUGUUGGGCAGGAGCACCCACGCAAUGUUAAGAGAAUCUCAAUUUGGUUAGGAACGUUGACUUCGUUUUUACUAGUGUAUUAUUCGAUUGAAGGUUAUGUAGGGGAAAUCACAGGUUUAACCCUUAAUAAUAAAGCAUUUCUAGUA